GGGGGCGACUGGUUUCGACAUGAUAGCCUUGCGAGAGGAAGCAUGCGGUGGUCUCCUCGCCACCUAAAACAGGGGUACCGUCAAAUUUAAUUGACAACAGAAGCUAUGCCCUCGCUGCCUGAUUGAGCAGCGACGUCCGGUCCGGGGACUUCCCUACCCCUGACAGGACGACAUCUCAGGGAAUGCUCCUGCGGACGUAGCCGGUAUGCCGCAGGAAAAGAAAGAACCAGCUAGCGACGUGCGCGCUUGUCUGUUGACGCGCCCCAAGCGAACCCUUCCAACAGACUGAGCAUGGAGAAGCUCUCAAGGGGUUACCAUGGACCGGAGUUCGAUCCUCCGCGCCUCCACCA
rnacentral:tmRNA from 1 species